CGGACUGCUGCCAAAGUAAGAUGACCACAAAGCAAAGUGAAAUAAGAGUUCUUUAAAGGGAAAGCUAAAACAUUUUGACAUGAACUAUGUUGCCUUCUACUUUAAGGUUUCAGGUGGUGGCUUUAAAGUUUAAGGGGACCAGCAUCGCUGCAAGAGUCUGUGCUAGGAAGCAGAGCUCCGCAUGCCUGUCUCCUGUCUCGCGGGGUACACUCACAGCUGUACACUGAGCCCCUGGGAGCCUGCACAGUCAGUCGCUGCUGAAAUAGGAGGUGGUGUUAAUUUUGAAAAUGAUCCAUGCUGUAAUGUCAUGAACCAGGAAGCUGGAAUCCUUCACCAGCUCUUUAUGCAAAUAUUUGGCUGCAGCUUGAGCUCAAGCACUUGGAAGGAGUGGGUUUUAAAAACUCGGCUUCAUUGUAGAGCUCUCGUUAACCCCAUUCCUCCCCCGGAAUGGUCCUUUUGUAGACCUCCCCAGGUUAUCUCCCUCAGGAAAAGUCGUGGAAAUACACCCGGAUCAAAACGCCCCUCGCCCUCGUGACCCUAUCCCAGAAGAAGCAGCCGAGUUACCCGACAUCGUGGUCAGCAGAAGCUGAGGUGGUGGCUGGAUGCUGCAGCUGCAGGGACUCAGCGUGGAGGAGGGCUCCUGUGCAGGGGGAGAAGCAGAGAUGCAACAUUUUUAAAGUUUCACAAAGCAUCCAGCUGCACCCAGGUUCCUGGAGCAGGAGACAAACAGAAUUAAUGUUUUAUACCUUCGGGUAUAGGUUUGAGUUUUUUCCCCCUCAUGCCAAGUAUUUAAAACCUCUAGAAACCCAUGAUUUGACAAUCAAUGAUUGCGCGAUACUUUCAAUUUGAAUAUUCAAAGGCUUAACAAAAUGGACUAUCUUCUGCAGAAAUCCUGCACACAGGCACCCCAGGGAGAGUCCACAGAAACAGGGAGUGAGACCCCUUUAGGUCCUGACCCUUGCUUUUACUGUAUUUUGAGCAUUUUGCCCACCUUCCCACAGAGAGAGCAGAAAUCCUCAAAGAUGCUCUGUGUUUCUGCCUCAAAGGGAGCUCUGGGAUCCAUGAGUGACCUAGGCUGCCCUUCAUGUCCACCUGAGCCAGACUGACUGGGCUGACUGGUUUCCAUCUCCUCAGUCUCUGUUUUAAGGGAAAAUCUCAGGUUUUGGGGAGUGAACAUGGCAGCCAGUAGGUAUGGCCUGGCAAGAAGUCACUCUGGGCCCAGGUUGCAGGCUGGAGGCCUGCAGAGGGCUUCGCUCUGCUCCUCAUCUCCGUCUGGCCCCGCCUGGCCACGUGCCGGCUUCCCUCCCCUUUUCCCCCCUGCUCUGUGUCUGUGCCCGAGACACUGGGAUUUCAGUACAGAAUGCCUGCACAUUAAGACCCUUUGCUCCUCCCCACAGAGCUGGGGAUGCCUGUGGGGCCUCACCCUCUGGAGAGUUUCUGAUUCCGGUGGUUUUUCACUAUGAAGUUCCCUUUUUGGUUUUUUUUUCCUCUCCUCUUUUUCCCUCUAGAGCCACCCCUGCCUUUUGGCCACAGGAGCGUGUGUUGAGAAAGGAUGAUAAGCUUGGCUUUUGCUUAUUUUACCUGAAAGAAUAUGGAUUUGGGUUCAGGCCUUCACACUUUGAGUGAGAGGUGGGAGGGCUUUGAGGUCAGCUGCCCCCUCGGUCCCGGCCUAAUCCCCUCACAGAUAACCUGACGUUGCGCUGGGUUAUGUUCUCCAACCACCUGCUGUACCUCCCCUGUGUGAUCUGGAAGCUUGAGAAGAUAUGAGAGGCCCAGAGAGUGAAUGGGUGCCAGGCCAGAUCCUCUCCUAGCCCCCAAGGGAAGGCAGAGUGGGGUUCCCUUUCCAGGUAAGCCAAGACAUUUCCAUGUUGCCGGGACAGGCAACGCUUAUAGGCCCCUGUUCUUUGUUCUCUGAAAUGCGUACAGUGGAUUUGAGUGUGAAAAAUACCCAGAUGCUCUGGGAUGUGUUGGUUGCAGGGUGGAGAAAGGAGUUCUCUAAGAGUGACAAGACACCAAGAAUGUGGUGGGUAAGUUGCCUGACAAGUGGAGCCAUGUCUCUGGGGGAGGAGAUCAGGGCUGGGGACCCCUGAGGUGGGCCUGGCAGUAGAUUUGUCAGCAGUCCACCCAGAAUCUGUCAGCUCUGGAGCCUCUUUCUCUAAAGGCACUGAGCCUAUGUUUUCCUGAUGGACCUCAGAACCAGCCUGGUGAGGAGGGGAAGGCCACCGGGAGUUUAGAGAGGAGAGCCCCUGUUUCCUUUCUCCAUGCCCUCUUGUGCAUGGGCACAGCCCUUCUCAGGAAACAGUGAGUCAAGCAGCGUAGAAUUAGGGACAGUCUCUUGUCCUUCUAUCUUCUGUCCUCUUUUGCCCUCCUUUUUGUUUUAUACUUAUUUUCUUUUGAUUUGCUUAAAAAAAUCUUCUCUUGCACCUUUGUGUUAUUAUUAUUAUUUUUUUUUUCCUGGGUUUCUUUAUUUUUUUUUUGGUUUCUCUUUUUGUCAUCACUUUCCUCCAUUCGUUAUCUGCAUUGCUGUUUUUCUCCUGGGCUUUGUGUGUGUGUGUGUGUGUCUGUUUUCCCGUGUUCUGGGGCGCUGUCUCAGUUUUUCAGGCUUAGUCACCUUCCUAAUUUCUCCUUUCAUGUAGAGAUGGGCGGGGAUGGCAGGAGCCAUAGAGUGCCCUUAGCGACAUCAUGGAAACUGACGGUGGUGACUGGUUGCCCUUUGGAGAAGGCAGGCAGGGCUGCGUGAGAGGUGAGCAGUGUGGAGGCCACAGGCUCUAUAGGGACAACAGAGACCUCUCUGUCCCUUCCUCCAGAAGCCUCUGCCCAAACCAGAGCAGCAAUUCUGGGGGCUUCUGCAUUGGCCCCUAGCUGAAGUGAUGGAUGUUCCAGUGCUGUGGCUAGCUAGCAACUUUGGAAAACGGGAGUUCCUCAGGCUGGAGGCCUGAUUUGAGAAACAAGGCCCCCGCACCCCUCCUGCCCCAGUUUGUAGCCUAACAUUAAGGAGUUUGGUUUCCACUGUUUCUAUAAUUGCAAAACCCUAGCACAGAUACUUAGGAGCCAGAUGCCACACCUGUAGGGUGAGGGAGCGUUCUUUCUAACUUGCACCUGUAAAUUGUCCUUGUGGGGCCACGUGAGUCUUGUGGCCUGGAGCAGUGAGCUCGGCUCUGAGACCUCAUAGCUUUGGAUGUUCCUCGUGGACGUUUUAGAGUUUGUCCUUCACUGAGUGUUUGUUGCAAGUCAUGCACUGAAUGGUAGAACCUCCCCUGUUUCCCCAGAUGAGGAAACAGGGUCAGAGGGAUGAGCAACAUGAUCAAGAUUACUGAGCAGGUACAUGCAGGAUUAGGAAUCAAAGUUUCAUAAAUCCCUUACUCUUAACUAUUAUAGUUAUCUCCCUGAUCUUUUAUAGCAGACACUUUCAAACUUUUUAGACUUCAACCCACAACUAAGAAAUUCAUCUUACACGUUCACAUAUUGUAACAGUAUUUAUAUGCUUAUAGAAUAAAUUUUCGUGGAACAAUGUA